rnacentral:lncRNA from 1 species
GCCCAGGUAAGCAACCUAGAAGGGUACAUGAUGACACUGUAAUUGUCAUGGGUACAUCAUGCAUGGUUAUCCAAACUGAGAUCACUCUAUAACCCAUCCCACUUCCUCUCUCGAUGAUAGAUCAUUUAAUGAAUAAUUACAGUUAUACGGAUAAUAAAAAUUUUAAAUUUAAUACAUACUUGCUAUGGUAUUUUAUACAUAUUUUUUAUAAUCAUAUAUUUUGAGUGGGGAUGGCAAUUUAUGACUCCGCUGUCAACU